AACAAAGACUCACUGAUGACAUACUCCGAUAUAUUAUUCCCAUAGCAGCUAUUAUUACUAGUAACUCUUAAAUGGCAUCAAACCUCACUCAAAUGACUUCACUCCGAGGCCACGGCCGGCUCCGCUGCAGCCUCCUCGGCGGCGGCCGGUGCAGCGGCUUCUUCGGUUGCCGCCUCCGGCUCCUCGACCGUCGGAUCCGUGGUCUCCUCAGCUACGGGAGCGGCGGCCUCGGGUUCAGCCUCCGGCUUUGCCUCCUCGGUAGGCUCCGCUGCUGCCGGUUCGGCCUCGGUGGCUACGGGCUCGGCCGCGGGCUCUUCAGCCGGCGUCUCCUCAUGCUCUGCUGCUGCUGCUGCUUCUUCUGCUGGGGUUUCUUCUUCUUCUUCUUUGGGCUCGUCGACGGCCGGAGCAGGAGCAGGUUCGGCCUCGACGGCCGGCGCAGGUGCAGGUUCGGCCUCGACGACAGUAGCAACCGGGACAUCAGCCGGAACCUCAACGACAGGAGCUGAUUCGACCUGCAUGAAGACAACAGAAGGAGACAUUUAGCUCUAACUCGGCCGUGCAUCGGUGUGGAUGACGACUGAGCAUGCAGAUCCAGGAGCUCUUCCUAGGAAUCACAUCUUUCUAGCAGAUCUAAAGUAGAUGCAGGCAGAGUUCAACCCUCACUCCAUCUACAACCGAGUGUUCCCGAGAAGAGAGAUAACAAGUGAGUUCAUGCUCUCUUCAGGUUCGGAUAGCUACACCAGACAUGAUCGAACCUGAGAUCAUCGAUCUGAUCUCAAGUAAACCCCCUCCCCCCACACACACAACACAACCUACUCUUUUGCUGAUCUGAUCUGAUCUCUAGGCAGGAGGAUCAUGACAGAAGCCAAUUGCAGCUGAUGGCUCAUAGGACAAGGUCGUGGCUCACCUCAACAGAAGCCAUGGGAGAAGGUGAGAAGAGCUGAAGGAGAACAAGAGUGGAGCGACAAGUGAUCUACCAAAGCAGUGGGGUGGGAGAGGUCAUUGGGGAUGGAAGGGUAUUUAUACAGAGAUGCAAUGGCACUCAGAAUCUUUACAGACAACCAGCCACGUACGAUUGGCUGGAUCACACCAUUAGUUUACUCUCCCAUCUCCGGUCAUCCACGCACCUUUUGCCCAUCAGUGUGUGUGUAUUAUUUUGCGUGAUGCACUCCCAGCUAUAAUGGAUUGAUAUGUGCACUCCCUCCAUCUUUGGAUAUAUGCUACUGUGUUGGUAAUAUGAACAGAAAUUAUCUUAGUAAUUCGCAAAUUAUGUAAACGCGAUGAAUUAUUAUUAUUAUUGACUAUAGUAAACAAGAUUACAUAAAAAAUCUCAUACGAUUUUG
rnacentral:lncRNA from 1 species